GGGCCUCGCCGGGAGGGAUUUUUGAGUCGGCUUUGAAGGCGGGAAUGUCCCAGAAGGGGCCCCUUAGCCCACAUAAAGGGCAAGUCUUACUUUUGAUCACAAUGUCGAGGCGGGCAGAGCAGUCCCGGUGUGUGUCGUGUCACUUGUCUAUUGUAUGUUCUGUGUCUUUUGGGCAUCUUGUGUCUUAGGUCUUUUUCCUUAGCCCUUCGAGGGGCCAGCUUAUCGGAAAUGCUGGGCAUCAUCCUUAGCAUCCGUGUUCCUCGGCCGGGUGCCGAUACGGUCAGACCUUUGACUGACGAGCUCGGAUGCACAUCGGAAUUGCAUCUCUGUUUAGAAGCAUUGAGUCAGAGGUCUUUUAUGGUCUUGUUCUGAGCUGUAUUCACAGCUGUGCACCGCAGUGAUCCAUUACAGAGGAUUAGGACUUGUCAGAAUGCAAAGAGUGGUAGAGGAUUCUGACCGUACAAUUCUCGGGCAGCCAUCUUUGCGGUUCUCGGAAUAAGCCCUUCUGUUAGCAUCUUCUUCGAGCCUCGUCGGUCUCGCUGACAUCAUCUCGCUCCGCAUUCUCUUGGUCCUUGUGGUCAUUCCUCUUGCCGGAGUUUUCUCUCUUCAUCGCAUCUCCUCGUUUGUCAUUUCCUGUGUCACAGGUGCCUGCGUGGGUUUGGCCCAGAGCUGCUCUGCCCUGCCAUGUAGUCUGGUGUAUAGGUGUAGUAGGACAAGUCCCAAGGCCUUGAAAUCUGUAAUGUAGGGUGUAGUUUGGCCUCUAGCCGGUAUUCCUAGAUUGACACAGGAUGCCUGGAGCUGUUAAGUUAUCAUGCAGGACUCUGACUUUUGUCAUCGCUUUCUUUCAGAUGCAGAUGCAGAUGAAAUCUGUGGCAGGGCCCCCCAGACCGGGUGAGGGGGUUCCCUCAAGAAGGAGGUAAAGCCAGAUAGCAGCAGUCAAGGUCGAUGGAGUGAGGCGGUCUGCUUGUAUUACGCCGAAACCCCUCGCCGACCGGCCGACGGACCCGCUUCGCCACCGUUGUGAGUGCUCUGGAAGUAUUACGGGACUCUGCAAUGAAGCCUUUACAUUUUCUGUUCUGAGGUACCUUCCGGUACAUCCAUGGCCGAGGAGUUGCGGCAUACCCUGUGAUGACGGCGUUGGCCUUGGAGCGUGGCUGAAGCAUGCAGUCCGAGGACCCCGGCCUUCUUAGGAGAUGGAGAUGACAGCCCGGUGACGACAGGAGCUUCCCAGAGGGUGAGCCAGCCUUCUGUUGUGCCUGAGGAGGAUUCCCAUCUCCAGAUGUCUGAGAGAUAAGUUGAGGGCUACAAUCCACUGAGGGAAUGAAUGUGAGGUGUUGGGUCAGGGCUUGCUGGGAGGGAUUUUUGAGUCAGCUUUGGAGGUGGGGAUGUCCAGGAAGUGGCCCCUUAGGCCACAUAAAGGGCAAGUCUCACUUUUGAUCACAAUGCCGAGGUGAGCAGAGCAGUCCCAGUGUGUGUCACUUUUCUAUUGUAUGUUCUGUGUCUUCUGGGCAUCUUCUGUUGCAGGUCUUUUGCCUUAGCCCUUUGAGAUGCUUAUUGGAAACGCUGGGUUUAGCAUCUCUGCUCGGUGCUCCUCGGCCCGGUGCCGAUACCAUCUAUCCUUUGACGCGAGAGCUUGGAGGCGCAUCAGAAUUGCAUCUCUCUUUAGAAGCAUUGAGUCAGAGGUCUUUUAUGGUCUUGUUCUGAGCUGUAUUCACAGCUGCAUGCCGCAAUGAUCCAUUAUAGCAGAUUAGGACUUGUCAGAAUGUGAAGAGUGGUAGAGGGUUCUGACCGUAUGAUUCUCGGGCAUCUGUCUUUGCAGUUCUCAGAAUAAGUCCUUCUUCUGCCAGGGUUCUUCAAGCCUCGUCGGCUCACCGUCAGUCUCGCCUAGGUCAUCUCAUUCCUUGUUCUCUCGGUCCUUGCGAUCGUUCUUCUCGCCUAGGGUUUUCUCUUCAUCGCAUCCCCUCCUUUGUCCUUGCCUGUGUCACAGGUGUCUGCAUGAAUUUGGCCCAGAGCUGCUCUGCCCUGCUGCACGGUCUGGCAUAUGGGUGUAAUAGGACAAGGCCUGGGGACUUGUAA